UCUAGGUUUUCAGCAUAUACAGAUGUCAAUAAACGGAUGAAAUUGUACGAAGUAGGACCUCUGUCGCCCUCUGUCCCUGCACGGUCGAGUUUAGGCACGCACCGAUGCGGAAGACCAGAAUAACCUGGACGGUGCUGGUCAGGUGCUCUGUUUUUGGUUUCCGUCCUUGGGGAAAUCUUUGGGUUUUCCGGCUGCCAAAUGAGGGAAGUGUUGAGGCGUAGCUCGGAGCGGCGUGAAGGCCCUGGCAAUGAGCUGCUCUCUUCAGAUCGGUCGUCCUGGUGAGGCCAGUUAACCACUUCCACAGUCAUCGCUCUUCCUUCAGCGGCAACUCAUCAGAGAUGAAAGGCUCCUGUAACACUGUGCUGGCGGGGGGAUCGAAGCUCAAUCUGAUGGAUGAAUCAUUUUGGAUGGAAAGAGUU